CCUACGGGUGGCUGCAGUGGGGAAUAUUGGACAAUGGGCGAAAGCCUGAUCCAGCCAUGCCGCGUGUGUGAAGAAGGCCUUCGGGUUGUAAAGCACUUUCAGUGGGGAAGAAAGCCUUGGGGCUAAUACCCUCGAGGAAGGACAUCACCCACAGAAGAAGCACCGGCUAACUCCGUGCCAGCAGCCGCGGUAAUACGGAGGGUGCGAGCGGUAAUCGGAAUUACUGGGCGUAAAGCGCGCGUAGGCGGUCUGAUAAGCCGGUUGUGAAAGCCCCGGGCUCAACCUGGGAACGGCAUCCGGAACUGUCAGGCUAGAGUGCAGGAGAGGAAGGUAGAAUUCCCGGUGUAGCGGUGAAAUGCGUAGAGAUCGGGAGGAAUACCAGUGGCGAAGGCGGCCUUCUGGACUGACACUGACGCUGAGGUGCGAAAGCGUGGGUAGCAAACAGGAUUAGAUACCCCGGUAGUC
rnacentral:rRNA from 1 species